AUUGAACGCUGGCGGCAGGCCUAACACAUGCAAGUCGAACGGUAACAGGAAGCAGCUUGCUGCUUCGCUGACGAGUGGCGGACGGGUGAGUCAUGUCUGGGAAACUGCCUGAUGGAGGGGGAUAACUACUGGAAACGGUAGCUAAUACCGCAUAACGUCGCAAGCCCAAAGAGGGGGACCUUAGGGCCUCUUGCCAUCGGAUGUGCCCAGAUGGGAUUAGAUAGUAGGUGGGGUAACGGCUCACCUAGGCGACGAUCCCUAGCUGGUCUGAGAGGAUGACCAGCCACCCUGGAACUGGAACACGGUCCAGACUCCUACGGGAGGCAGCAGUGGGGAAUAUUGCACAAUGGGCGCAAGCCUGAUGCAGCCAUGCCGCGUGUAUGAAGAAGGCCUUCGGGUUGUAAAGUACUUUCAGCGGGGAGGAAGGGAGUAAAGCUAAUACCUUUGCUCAUUGACGUUACCCGCAGAAGAAGCACCGGCUAACUACGUG
rnacentral:rRNA from 1 species